UACGGCUAGGACUACCGGGGUAUCUAAUCCGGUUCGUGCCCUAGCUUUCGUCCUCACCGUCGGACCGUUCUAGCAAGACGCCUUCGCCACUGGCGGUCCCUCAAGGAUUACAGGAUUUCACUCCUACCCUUGAGAUACCUCUUGCCUCUCCCGGUCCCAAGACCAGCAGUAUCCAUUGGCAGCCUUACGGGUUAAGCCGUAAGAUUUCCCAAGGGACUAACUGGUCCGGCUACGGACCCUUUAAGCCCAAUAAUAGCGGCCACCACUCGAGCCGCCGGUGUUACCGCGGCGGCUGGCACCGGUCUUGCCCGGCUCUUAUUCCACAUGCUUUUUAGGCGUAUGAAAAGCGUACGCAUUGCGCACGCACUCGAGGUCCCCUUAUCGCGCUUUCGCGCAGUGUAAAGUUUUCGCGCCUGCUGCGCCCCGUAGGACCUGGAUUCGUGUCUCAGAAUCCAUCUCCGGGCUCUUGCUCUCACAACCCGUACCGAUUAUUGGCUUGUUGGGACGUUACCCCAGCAACUACCUAAUCGGCCGCAGACCCAUCCUCAGACGCCAAAGCUUUAAACCGUAAGGCAUUCCAGCGUUCACGGAUUAUCCGGUAUUAUCUCCAGUUUCCCGGAGUUAUCCCAGAUCUGAGGGUAGGUUGUCCACGUGUUACUGAGCCGUAAGGGCGAAUUCCAGCACACUGGCGGCCGUUACUAGUGGAUCCGAGCUCGGAACCAAGCUUGGC
rnacentral:rRNA from 1 species